UAUUGAUAUUUGUAUCUGUAAGAUUUGCAAAAGGCUUUUUUUUUUAUAUUGGAGAAGCUGCAAAGUCAUUUCUAUUACUGCAGUGCAGUCAGACUUUGAUCAGCAGACACUGAAAGCUGCAUGGAUAAGUACAACAUAUAGUGGAAAGUGAAGAAGAGAAUUGGAAGCUGGUUCAGGCUUUAAGUGCUGUGCCAUCAACUUGUUCCUAUCAGCAGGUCUCACACCACUGCCAGUUAGCAGUUGGAAAUCAAGUUCUACCUUCCAGAAGACUCACAACCUCUUCCAGUUUGAUCUCAUCCAACUGAAGAUUUCCUACUGGGAGACUGGUCUUACAGUAGUGGUCUGAUCCAGCUGGUUUAGAGCACUUGGGCUCAAGUAUUAAGAAAAUGGACUGUACUGCCAAAACAUACCCGAAGAACACUACUGAAGGGAAUGACGGUCUUCAAACACCUGACGCCAAACCUGAAGAGAAUCUGGCCUCAGUGAUUUCUCUGUGUAAACUGAGACAGUUUGCAGAUGUUUUAAAGCAUUUGUAACUCAGCAGAAAAACCACAUAACUGGACAUAAUCAUACUGGGACAUAAUCUUUGGCAAUAGAAAUUGUUAUGCAGUCUCAGAAUAAAAGUCACUACUAAUUGCCCUGGUGAAACCUUAGGAUGGCUUUUUAAAUGUGGCAUUAAGAUGGCAUAUCUUUGCCCCUUUCUUUUCAGUUAAUUUUAAACACUGCAACAUUACAUGUUGGGAUUUUUUGUGGCAGUUCAUGAUACUCAUGAUAUUUCAAUAGUUCAUCACUGAAUGACAUCUCUAUAUUGAAAACUGCUUAAUCUAAAAAAUUUGCUAUGCAGAUCUUUAAAUUGUGAGCUAAUUGACCUGGAAACAAUCAUUUGCACAUAUGAGAUAUGAAAGCUAAUUACAGUAUAAUUAUUUAUAAUUAUUUUUAAAUAUUGCCAGAAAUCUAACAGAAUGUUCUUGUUUUUAGCUUUAGACAACCCUAACCAGUUAGGGCUUCUGUUACCAGGACAGCAUGUCAGCCAACAUCAAUCAGUAUACCUCUGCUGACAGGGGUCAAUUUAACUCUGCAGUGCAUUAUGCUACAGUAUCUUCACCUGAAGUCAAUUAAUGUAACCUGAGGAUGGAAUUAUGUCUAUUUUGUCAUAUAGGUGGUGUGACAAGGAACUGGGUCCCAGUUCACCGGGGUUGGUUGCACGACUAGGGACUGCAGGAGCAGCUCUUGUCAGUGAGGAGAUUCCUAGUUCUGCCAUUCUAUUUAGAGAUAAGGAAAACUGCUCAUUUCACCUGCUGUAGAAUGGAAUCACCAAUGGACUUAUUUUCAGUACAGAAAUGACUGUCCAGCCUCAUGAGAGAUGAGAGAUUAUUGGAGAAAGAAUGUGUAUGUGCAUUGCAUAUUUGUAUGCAGUGAAAGGAGAAAAAGUAUGACAUGGUGUGAGAGCAAAUGGUUGGUAAAAGUAUCAGUUACAGUGCACAAAAUACACUUCUGUAUAUUUUAUUUGCAAAUCUAGUUUCUAAUAGAAACGUAAUAGAUACUGCUACUUACUUAUACUUACAAUUAAUUAAUUUAUUUUUCAAACUCUGUCUGCCUUUGGAUACAGAGGAUGCUUCAUUAAAGGAAGACACCCUUUUCCCCUCCGAACUGGAGUUCUGCUUGUUGAGUGUACAGAUUGUGGAUAUUGGUAUGGUAUUAAUGUAUAACAAAUGAGAGCUAGCUAGUAGAUAUGAUACUUAUUUAACACAAAAAUGAAACUAUAGAAGAACGUUGAUGUGUCCUGUUCUACAAAGUUUGAAAGCUAUAUUACUUAAAAAACUCUCAGAUAAGUGCAGGGUGGUAAAGCAAUUUACUGUGCCAUUACUGUUUUUUGGAAUGCACAGGAUAGUGCAAUGAAUUUUAUUAUACCAGACUUCACAUAGUCCAAAGUCAUUAUCUCCUACAACAAUUUUUCAUGAUAUAUGCUAAUGAAGUAAUAAAAUCCAAAGACCUUUUAUUUGAAAUAACACUUGGAAGCUGCUCUGUGUAUUUUCAUGUAGCAUCUGGGUUCUUCGAUACAAUUUUUGAUCUGUUUAGAGGAGUUGAUUAAAUUUAAUUCAACCGAAGCAGCAAAUUCCAUUCCAAACAAAAUGGUUCAACAUCACUACAAGUACAAUAUAUGCAAACUAUUGCCAUAAUACUUGAUAAUGACUUAAAUCUUACAGACAAGGUUCAGCACAAAAUACUCUUAUGAUGAUAACCUGUUCUACUCAUAAGUCUAGAAUUGUCUAUAUUGACAGUUUAUCUACAUAAGAAGUAUAUGAUUACUACAUGAUUAAUAUAUCAUAGUAGUAUAUCUUAAAGAGGAAAUUCUGUGAGUAUGAAUAUUAUGGAAACAUUCUCUUAGCUAUAAUGAAAACUGUUCAGUAAAGCGAAGAAUCAUAUUUUUCCCUUCAAGCUACCUAGCAGGCCAUACCUCAUUUGUUGCUAUUAAA